rnacentral:rRNA from 1 species
GUGCACGCUCUGUUUACACAUCCACUCACACCUGUGCACCCUCUGUAGUUCUAUGGCCCGGGGGACCCUGUCUUCCUGCCGUGGUUCUACGUCUUUACACACACUCUGUAAUAAAGUCUUAUGGAAUGUAUGCCGCGUCUAACGCAAUACAAUACAACUUUCAGCAACGGAUCUCUUGGCUCUCGCAUCGAUGAAGAACGCAGCGAAAUGCGAUAAGUAAUGUGAAUUGCAGAAUUCAGUGAAUCAUCGAAUCUUUGAACGCACCUUGCGCCCCUUGGCUAUUCCGAGGGGCAUGCCUGUUUGAGUAUCAUGAACACCUCAACUCUCAUGGUUCGCCAUGAUGAGCUUGGACUCUGGGGGUUUUGCUGGCCCGCGGUCGGCUCCCCUCAAAUGAAUCAGCCUCCCAGUGUUUGGUGGCAUCACGGGUGUGAUAAAUAUCUACGCUCGCGGUUGUCUGCCAGGUAACCUUUGGUGACAAAGGUUUGCUGGAGCUCACAGAUGUCUCUCCUCGGCGAGGACAGCUUUUUUGAACGUUCGAUCUCAAAUCAGGUAGGACUACCCGCUGAACUUAAGCAUAUCA